rnacentral:tRNA from 1 species
ACUUUUAAAGGAUAAUAGUAAUCCAUCGGUCUUAGGAACCGAAAAAUUGGUGCAAUUCCAAAUAAAAGUA